UACGGCGGCCAUAGCGGCAGGGAAACGCCCGGUCCCAUGCCGAACCCGGAAGCUAAGCCUGCCAGCGCCGAUGAUACUGCCCCUCCGGGGUGGAAAAGUAGGGCACCGCCGAAC
rnacentral:rRNA from 15 species